ensembl:lncRNA
UUUGUGAUAGUUUCUACCCUACAGCCUUACUCCUGUGAUGGUAAAUUAAUAGAAGUGUCUUGAACCUGACAAGUAGGAAAAUACUGAUUUUUUUGAGAGGGCACCCUGACAUCUGAAACCUGCAUCUAUUAUAUUCUCUGAAGAAGAAGGAAGGAGAUACAUUGCAUCUUUCUUCAUCACUAGAAGAACUGUGUGUGGCCUGCUUCUGAAAUCCAUCCCUCCAUUUGGUUUUUGUAAUGAUAUUUGUUUGUGUAAGAUUGUCACCAGAGGAACCAAAGCUGAAAUGGGUCCAAAAGUUCAUGAAAUCACAUUCUCACAGUAUUGUCCUAGGUCUUUUAUCUUCUGGUGCACGUUUUGCCAUAUAAGAAUGCAGUGCCACUGUGACUGGGGACUUUGUCAGUUCCGACAGCUGCUGGUUCACUGAAAGGAGGAGACAAGAACAGCCCUGAGGACCAAGUGCAACCUUCACUUGGAAGGUGUUUAUGCAAGCUUUAAGAGAUUUCACUUUGCCUAAAAUGUUGACAGAUGAUAACCCAAUUUUCAUGGGCCUAACCAGUGACCUGUUUCAAGUUCUGGAUGUCCUGAGAAAGAAGAACCUGCAAUUUGAACAGAUGGCUGAACAAUCUACCCUAGAGUUUCACUUGUAGCCUGAAGAGAUCUUAAUUCUCAAG